rnacentral:lncRNA from 1 species
CUCGGCACCUUGUAGAUCACCCUGUUCGCUCUCCGUUCAUCCUCGCUUGUGUUCCCUGCCAACCUAGCGAACGCCGCUUUCUUCACCUCCACUUUUCCUUUGACUACAUCGUUCCACCACCAAUCACCCUGAUGUCUGCCUGAAUAUCCCUUGGCUACCCCGAGCACGUCCCGUGCUACCCCCUAACCAAGUUUUCCGUCACUGUCCACAUAGCGUCCGCUUCCCCAGAACUUCUCCAAGCACUGCCCUCAACUAACCUCCUUUCCAACUCCUGUGCUUUCUCCUUAGUCAGAGCACCCCAUCUAAUCCGCG